rfam:TPA: Bos taurus chromosome 2, whole genome shotgun sequence.
UCCCUAGUGGCUCAGACAGUAAAGCACCUGCUGACAAUGCAGGAGACCCAGGUUCAAUCCCUGGGUUGGGAA